rnacentral:rRNA from 1 species
UGAGCAAUCUGCCCUUCUCAUCGGAAUAAGCGUUGGAAACGACGUCUAAUGCCGAAUACGACCUCCUUUCGCAUGAUCGGAGGUGGAAAGCUCCGGCGGAGAAGGAUGAGCUCGCGGCCUAUCAGCUAGUUGGUGUGGGUAAUGGCCCACCAAGGCGACGACGGGUAGCCGGCCUGAGAGGGUGACCCGGCCACACGUGGGACUGAGACACGGCCCAGACUCCGUACGGGAGCA